AUACGGAGGGUGCAAGCGUUGUUCGGAUUUAUUGGGCGUAAAGCGCGUGUAGGCGGUUUUUUAAGUCUGAUGUGGAAGCCCCGGGCUCAACCUGGGAAGUGCAUUGGAUACUGGAAGACUUGAGUACGGGAGAGGGUAGUGGAAUUCCUAGUGUAGGAGUGAAAUCCGUAGAUAUUGGGAGGAACACCGGUGGCGAAGGCGGCUGCCUGGACCGAUACUGACGCUGAGACGCGAAAGCGUGGGGAGC
rnacentral:rRNA from 1 species